AGUGAACGCUGGCGGCAGGCCUAAUACAUGCAAGUCGCACGGCAGCACAGCAGAGCUUGCUCUGUGGGUGGCGAGUGGCGGACGGGUGAGGAAUACGUGGGAAUCUGCCCAGUCGUGGGGAUAACGUAGGGAAACUUACGCUAAUACCGCAUGCGCCUUCGGGGAAAGCCGGGGACCUUCGGGCCUGGCGCGAUUGGAUGAGCCCACGUCGGAUUAGCUAGUUGGCGGGUAAAGGCCCACCAAGGCGACGAUCCGUAGCUGGUCUGAGAGGAUGAUCAGCCACACUGGAACUGAGACACGGUCCAGACUCCUACGGGAGGCAGCAGUAGGGAAUAUUGGACAAUGGGCGCAAGCCUGAUCCAGCCAUGCCGCGUGAGUGAAGAAGG
rnacentral:rRNA from 1 species